rnacentral:rRNA from 1 species
UACGAGGGGGGCUAAUGUUGUUCGGAAUCACUGGGCGUAAAGGGAGCGUAGGCGGGUGUUUAAGUUAGGUGUUUAAUCCCAGGGCCCAACCCUGGUCAGGCACCUAAAACUGGACAUCUUGAAUAGUGGAGAGGACGAUGGAAUUGGGGGUGUAGCGGUGGAAUGCGUAGAGAUCCCCAAGAACACCAGUUGCGAAGGCGGUCGUCUGGACACAUAUUGACGCUGAGGUGCGAAAGCGUGGGGAGCAAACAGG